GGAGCUGUGUGUGUUUGUGUAUUGUGUAUAGUGAAUGCAGUGAGUGUUUGUGUAGUGUGUAUAGUGAAUGCAGAGUGUGUUUGUGUAGUGUGUAUAUUAUAAAUGCAGUGAGUGUUUGUGUAGUGUGUAUAUUAUAAAUGCAGAGUGUGUGUUCGUGUAGUGUGUGUAUAGUGAAUGUAGUGUGUGCGUAAAGUGAAUGCAGUUUGUGUGUAGUGUGCGUAAAGUGAAUGCAGUGUGUGUAUAUAAGGAGCAGAGUGUGUGUGU